rnacentral:snoRNA from 1 species
UCGCAUGCAGACAUAUGGGCCCCUCUUUUGUUUGUGAGUAGGAAUGUAUUCAUAACAUGCUACAUUGUCAAGGAGUUCUCAGGGCUACCACCUUAGAGUAGAGGUUGAGUAGUUGUAUAUUUCUCCUACAUUA